GUCAUGGCUCAGUGGUAGAGCAUCUGCUUUGAAUGCAAAAGGUCCCAGGUUCAAUCUUCAGCUUCAGGUAGAGCU